AGCCCUGAGGUGAAAUUUUCAUGUUGAAUUGCAAAUUCAAAGAAGCAGCUUCAAUUCUGCCAGGGCUU
rfam:Oryctolagus cuniculus unplaced genomic scaffold chrTn0455, whole genome shotgun sequence.